rnacentral:rRNA from 1 species
GACGAACGCCGGCGGCGUGCUUAACACAUGCAAGUCGAACGGUGAAGGGGCCUGCUUUUGUGGGCCCUGGAUGAGUGGCGAACGGGUGAGUAACACGUGAGUAACCUGCCCCCUUCUUCUGGAUAACCGCAUGAAAGUGUGGCUAAUACGGGAUAUUCUGGGUCUGUCGCAUGAUGGGUCUGGGAAAGAUUGCGCCUUUGGGUGUUUUUGGUGGGGGAUGGGCUCGCGGCCUAUCAGCUUGUUGGUGGGGUGAUGGCCUACCAAGGCGGUGACGGGUAGCCGGCCUGAGAGGGUGGACGGUCACACUGGGACUGAGACACGGCCCAGACUCCUACGGGAGGCAGCAGUGGGGAAUAUUGCACAAUGGGCGCAAGCCUGAUGCAGCGACGCCGCGUGAGGGAUGGAGGCCUUCGGGUUGUAAACCUCUUUCGCCAGUGAAGCAGGCCUGCUCCUUGUGGGUGGGUUGACGGUAGCUGGAUAAGAAGCGCCGGCUAACUACGUG